CAACUUCAUCGGGACUGCAUUUCCCGAGAACCCCAGCGAUUGGGAUCUCAGCUCCGAUCCCGAGCGCGCUCUGCGGUCAGAGCAGAUGGAGUUUUCUUGUGCGACCUUCCCUGGACUUCAUACUGCUUCGCUUCGAUUCUUAGACUGAGCCAAUUGCGGUUGCUGAGCAUCAACAUCCUCCUGUUGGCAGUGGUAUGGUGGCACGACAGCUUUGCAAGUACAUGGGUCAGAAGUUUCCAGGACAUCCCUCCCUCUUCAGGAACAGAAGUGGAUUGUCCAUAGUACUGCGCUGGCUGGUAGAAUGUUGGAGCUUCAGUUUGACAUAAAGGGAGAGUUGCAAGACACUGGCCUAAAGGAUAUGCUAGACGAGCAGAUGGAUGGAUGCUAAGGAAGAAAGAAUGGAGCAGAAAGGAAUUUUUAAAAAAAUCAAGUGAAAGCAUAAAGGAAAGGAAAAAUAAAUUAAUACAAAGAGAAAGACAGUGGAAGAAUGACUUCGAUUUAGGACUCAAGCUUUUCUGUAGCGUCAAUCGUGGGAAAAAGCUGAAUGUAUAAGAAGGUCAUGACCAGACGAGAUAAAGAAAAUGGAAACAAUAAAAUGAGAGGCAGGUGUUUAAUGGUAAGAAGUGUAGGAUGUGCUUGGAAUACUUGUGAGCGAAUCGAAAAGAAAACAGCCAAUGCCUCUGAUUUUUGAUGCAUGCAUGAUCCUUCUCAAAUGUUUGUAAUGAGACUAAAAGCUUUGUUGAUGCAAAGAUUAGUCAGUAGGGAUAACCCAGGGUUAAAUGUAACAGACAUCUGUCCUUGUCGCAGUUGUCAUUUGAUAUCAAAAAAGAAUUAAAGCCAAAAUUGUGGUGUAAUAUCUGAUUUAUGAAAGGGUGACAAGUCAAAAUAACACCUCUGCUGCUAUGGGGCAGGCUAAUUAACUUACAGCACUUGUUAAUACCUCCAGGGUCUAAUUUGUUCACAGCUGUUCAACAAUGAAUAAACCACAGAUAGGGGAAACAACUGUUUCUACUCAAUAAUUGUGCUAAUCCCAUCCCUGAAUAAUACUUCACUGAAACAAAAGCAUAAUGCGUCUGUUUCCAGCUACUUCUAAGCCCAGGUAUGCCCAUCAUGGACUUUAUCUGUAAUUCUCCGCGUGAUUAAUGUUUAUUUAUAUUUUCAUCCAUCUGCUUUUAGAAAUACAACGAGUACUCUCAUAACAUGCAAAGUUCCGGAAGUUACGAUAAGCUGCAAAAUGCCUUCAAAGCACAGCAGCAUUUUGAGUUCAAGUACAUUAGUCACAAGAGGUUGGUAUGCAGGUAUGGUACAUAAUUAGGAAGGCUAUUGCGAUGCUAUCCUUCAUUACAAAAGGAAGUGAAAAAUGUAAUGAAUGUAAUAAAUGUAAUAUUAUGCAUCCAUUGUGCAGAACACUGGUGAGAAUACUGUGUUAAUUUCUCAUGAUCAUUUAAGGGAGAAUAUAAAUGCAUUGCAAGUGACUCAGAGUAGAUUUAUCAGAAUGAUACAUGGAAUGAGUGAAUUGUCCUAUGGGGGUAAGUUAGGCAGGCUGGGCCUGGUUAUACUGAAGGUUAGAAGAGUGAAGACUGAUUUAAUUAAACUGUAACAGGUCUUGAUAAAAUAGAUGUGAAAGGGAUGUUUCUUGUUGUAGGUCAGUCUAGGACUAAGUGUGCUGUUUUAAUACCAAAGAGUUUCUGUUUCAGAACCGAGGUGAGGAGAUUUGUUUUCCAUCAGACAGUUGUUUGGAUCUCUCUCCCUCAGAUGGCAGUUGAGGCGGGGUUUUUAAUUUUUGCUUAAGAUAGAGGUCAAUAAAUUCUUGCUCGGCAGUAGAAUUAAGGUUUAGCAAUGUAAAUGGAAAUGUGGUGUUCAAAACACAAACAGAUCAGUCAUGAACAUAUUCUGGAGUAGAGCAGGUUUGAGGGGCCGAAUGGUUUAUAUCUCUUUCUAUUUUCGUAUCAAGUAACCUCUAGCAUGUAGCAAUAUGCGCAAUAUUUUCUAUUCCUUUCAAACAGCUGUACAAACAGUGAACAUUUAAAACACCGGGACAAACAUGAUCAAUUGAGAAUUUAUUACACAAUUGCUUGAAAGCUGAUUAAGGUGCUAAUUUAAAACAGCUGAUGAAACGGAGGCCCAUGUAAAUACUCCGGUUUACUGAAAUUGUUGAAAUGCACUGCCUAGAGUAUUCCCAUUUGUAUUUGGAAUGGCUCUGAUUAUUAUUUGCAAUGUCUUCAUUUUAUUCAUUGUUAAGGUCUAAUUUGCUUGUGUGUAUUUGAUAAGUAGUUGUUGAUCAAGUGAUAACUGUAAUUAAAAACAGGUAUAUCAAUAAAAUGAUGAAGGGUCGAGGCCUGAAACAUCAGCUUUUGUGCUCCGGAGAUGCUGCUUGGCCUGCUGUGUUCCUCUAGCUCCACACUUUGUUAUUUUGGAUUCUCCAGUAUCUGCAGUUCCCAUUAUCACUAUACCAAUAAAAUGACCCUUUUGGCAGCUGUGGGGAUGGAUUGGAUGCAGAAGGAAUCUGUUAAUGAAUAAAGGAAAAAAAGUGUUACGCAGCAAGUACCUGAGUUUUCUGAAGGCCUACUGUAACUUCCUUCAGCUAUUCCUUUGAUUCAUACUGCAUUUGAACUGCUGCAGGUGAGGCAUGAUUCUGGAAAACACUUUGCCUGGCAAAGACAAUUCUACAGGCAUGAUAAAGGAACACUUUGUUGUGGAAUUAAGCUCGUAAGACUUUGCAUUAAAAGUGUAGAUCUUGAUUUCCAGUUACCAUGAUUUUCUGGCCAUGACUUUUUUCAAGAACAAGGCUAUCUUGACUACAUCACUGCAAAGGCACACAAAAUGGAUCAUUCGAACUCCCUGAGUAAGUAGAGAC